GAGCUCAAAACCUCCAAGAUCAAAUGCUAAAUAAACAGAGCCUGCGGGGCGCCAGGAACCUGGGGCGUGCUGCCGCCUUCUCUACCAGAGGGACCCAAGCUGAAGGCAACUCUGCGGGCAGCGGGAGGGGCUUUCGGGAUCUUCCUUCCACAGCAACAAAAUCCCUUGGGUCCUUUGCGCUUGCGGCGCUCCUGAGCCUUGGCCCGGGCCGUGACUCCUACAGCCUGGGCGGCUCCCCUAGGACGCGGCUAAAACUUGGCCAAAAGGCGGUACUCAACUCACACGCCGGAAGGAAAACUGCAUUAAAAAAAAAAAACCAACAACAACAACAGCAACACACAUACACACACACACACACACACACACACACACACACACACACACACACACAACGAAAACUCCGCUGAGCCGCAGCGGCGCCUCUCACAGAAGUAUUACUUUUUCUAUUGUUAUUUUAUACGUUUUCUUUACUCCCCCUCCCUCCCCUGACCAUAUAAGCUUGUAAAGUCUUGACUGCGGAGAGGGGGGAAAGAAAAGAUCUGCGCGCCCUGGCAAUUUCCAGUCCCCCUUCCUUUCCCUAUCCCUACACCGGGGACCCUGCGAAAAUGUAAUCCUUGUAUCUGCUUCUGCCAUCCGGCCCCAGGGGCCGCUGGCUCCGCGCGACUCCCGGGUGCUCCCGCUGACCUACAGCUUCGGGCGCGGAAACCCGGCUGAGAACCAGGCGCCCGGGGCUAAGGGGACCGGGCCUCCGCUCCUCUGUUCCAACGCUGCGCGCGAGCCAGCAGCCGGCCAGGAGCCGGGCGUUGUAUUGCGACUGGCACUUUAUGCUGACCAUCGGUAACGGACAUUUAUCACUGGAGUUCUUUUUUUAAAAAACUAUUAAAUAAACGGUUAUUUUACAGGC
rnacentral:lncRNA from 1 species